GAAGCUGGCCUUUACUGGCAUGUGCGCGCCCUUCUCAUACUUAUCCACAUAACACCUGUGCACCUCUGAUAAGUUUGUGUUGGUCUCGACUGAGGCAAGCUUAUCAUUUUUUUUCAUUACAUUUAAAUGCCUGUUAUAUAUGCAUGUCUUAUGCUCUUAUGGAGCACACACACAAAAAUACAACUUUCAACAACGGAUCUCUUGGCUUUCGCAUCGAUGAAGAACGCCGCGAACGUGCGAAACGUAAUGUGAAUUGCAGAAUUCAGUGAAUCAUCGAAUCUUUGAACGCAUCUUGCGCUCCUUGGUAUUCCGAGGAGCAUGCCUGUUUGAGUGUCGUGAACCUCUCAAUUUCUUAAUUUUUUUUAACAUUUUAAGAAAAUUGGAUUUGAAUGUUGCCGUGAUUUGACUUACGGCUCGUUCGAAAUGCAUUAGCUGGUCCACUCGGUCUCUUAACGGUGUGAUAAAAUCUUAUUCUCUGUUAUGAUGGAGUCGUGACUGCUUCCAAUGGUCCCUUACGGGGGACAGCCUAAUGACAAUCUGACCUCAAA
rnacentral:rRNA from 1 species